rnacentral:rRNA from 1 species
GACGAACCGUGCGAACGUUAUUCGGAAUCACUGGGCUUAAAGCGCGCGCAGGCGGGGCGGCACGUCGGUCGCUGAAAUCCCCCGCUCAACCGGGGAACGGGCGCCGAUACGACCGCCCUGGAGGGGCGUAGGGGGACCGGGAACUUCCGGUGGAGCGGUGAAAUGCGUUGAGAUCGGAAGGAACGCCCGCGGCGAAAGCGCGGUCCUGGACGCCUGCUGACGCUGAGGCGCGAAAGCGUGGGGAGCAAACAGG